rnacentral:rRNA from 1 species
ACGAACGCUGGCGGCGUGCUUAACACAUGCAGGUCGAACGGAAAGGCCCUGCUUUUGUGGGGUGUUCGAGUGGCGAACGGGUGAGUAACACGUGAGUAACCUGCCCUUGACUUUGGGAUAACUUCAGGAAACUGGGGCUAAUACCGGAUAGGAGCUCCUGCUGCAUGGUGGAGGUUGGAAAGUUUCGGCGGUUGGGGAUGGACUCGCGGCUUAUCAGCUUGUUGGUGGGGUAGUGGCUUACCAAGGCUUUGACGGGUAGCCGGCCUGAGAGGGUGACCGGCCACAUUGGGACUGAGAUACGGCCCAGACUCCUACGGGAGGCAGCAGUGGGGAAUAUUGCACAAUGGGCGGAAGCCUGAUGCAGCAACGCCGCGUGCGGGAUGACGGCCUUCGGGUUGUAAACCGCUUUCGCCUGUGACGAAGCGUGAGUGACGGUAAUGGGUAAAGAAGCACCGGCUAACUACGUG